GGGUUUGUUUUCUCACACACCAAGAAGUCCAGAAGCAGACAGCCCAGGACUCUUACAGCUGCUCAGGGAAAUCACCAAGGACCAGGCUGCUUCUAACAUCCUUAUCUGACAACCCCAGCGACUGGCUUCAGUCCUCAUGGUGGUAAGAUGGCUGCUCUACUCUAUGUGUUGUGUCUGGGUCCCAGGCAAAGAGAAGGGGCAGGAGCAAAGGGUCCAAGGUGCAUGCCAACUGAGUCUGUGCCUUUGUACCAAGAAAAUAAUCGCUUUCCUGGAAGCCCCACUCACUGGACUUCCUCUGUCAUCUUGCUGGCCAGAACCUGAUUGGGUGGCCACCCUUACUGGGCACAUGGCUCUCCUAAACAAAACCGGCAUGCUAUUAGAAAGGAAGAGGAAAUGGUAGAAGAUGAGAUAAACAACCAGCGGUGCCUACCACUCCUUCAGUCUAUUCCAGUCCAUUGGAACUUUACCCUCCUUUGAGCAACUGUUUACAGUCUUCCCGCCUUAUCCUCAGGGGAUACUUUCCAAGACCUCCAGUGGAUGCUCGAAACCAAGGAUAGUAUCAAGCCCUAUAAAUACUGUUUUUUUCCUAUAUAUACAUACCUAUAAUAAAGGUUAAUCUAUAAAUUAGGCACAAUAAGAGAUUGACAAUUAUAACUAAUAACAAAAUAGAACAAUUAUAACAAUAUACUGUAAGAAAGGUUAUGCAAAUGAGGUCUCUCUCUCUCAAAAUAUCCUAUUAUACCAUACUCACCCUUCUUCUUGUGAUGUGUCCAUGGCUGGAUGUCAGGAGCAGACAAUGUCAAUAACUCACAGGUAGGUAGCACAUACAGUGUGGAUACACUGGACAAAGGAGUGAUUCAUAUCCCCACAGGACAGAGUCGGACGAUGUGAAAUUUCUUCAUGCUGCUCAAAAUGUUAACCCUAAUAUUAAUUUAAUAAAUUAACUUCAAUAGAACAGCUAGAAUAGUAAGCACUAUGUAAGUGUCUGUUAAAUGAACACAUGAUUGUCACCUAUGGUUAAAACAUUACCAGAAAUUGAGACCCAGAAUUUGACAAGUUAGAGCAUCUUCAUGGACAAAAGGGACAGAAUAGUGGAAGCCAGGACUGUUGAGGUCAAUUAGGAUGCAUGGUAUAACCGCAGGUGAGACAUCAAUAAGGGAACCUAGCGACAGGUGGGUCAGAGUUGAGGCUUUAAGGUCAGGCUGCCAAAUUCAGCCACUAGCUUCCUACUUAUUAACUGUGUUCCCUGGGCAAAUCACUGAAUCUGUCUAAGGGUCAAUUUUCUCAUAUGUAAAAAUAGGAUAAAAAUAAACAGAGCCUCUCCUUAGGUGUGUUUUGAAGAUUAAAUAGAUUAUGUAGGGUACUUAACAUUAUUCAUGGUAUGUCUGAAUAAAUGUUCAUUUUGUUAACGAUCAGGACCUAUAAUUGAGAGGCCAACUGGACCAUUUGACCUUGGCUGAAGGGGACACAGGAGUGCAGAAUGAAGUUUUGCCAUGAACGUAGAUCCUCCCUUACAAAUCCCUCCAUUUUCAAACCCGAGGUCAGAGCUUCUCUGGGCAGCCAGCCCCAGCCCUCAGGUGAACUCAGCACAGCCCUUCUGACUUACCCAGGAAGAUGGGAAAAGGCGAGAGUGAAGAAGCAAGAGAGAAUGAAAUGAAGAAGCCAAGUCUUCUCCUUCUUCCUUUCCCCUCCAGAGGAAAACCAUCUCAAGAGCCAGAAGUGGUAUAGGCCCCUAAGUCAAGCUUUUUCAAGCUCCACUUCUAAUGCUCCAUGCCUUAAAAAGUAUGACCCAAGACUGUCCCUGAACAUGGCUGAUCCACGGUAACAUCCUUCCUCCUGGGAUAGUCUCAGAGGUGCGUGAGGGGAGCACCAUGAACUUUCUCAACCUACAGGCCAACAUAUUUUAUUUUAUAUUCUUAUGUCACUAUCUCAGAACUUAAUAGCCACUGUAUGGCAAAAUAAAUAAUUGGGUUUUUGUGACGAGCCUUUGAAAUGUCCUUCCCACUGCGGAUGUGCCACACUGUCUCCUAAUUCUCCCCUUACAAGCAGACGUAAUCCAUGUUUCUGAAUGAAUUUAUAAUAUGAAACCUUCAAAGGGUGGCAUGUAAGUUCCACAGACCUCAUUUUUACAACAAGGAAAGAUUCUUUCCAGGAAAAGAUUUUGAAGACCUGAAUACUAAGUGAGUGGUGCUAUUAUAUGCAUGUGAAACAGAAAUGUCUCCCAGUCUUUGGUAACUGGUGCAGUAGACCAGAGCUGGUUUUAAUUAUGUAGAAAUGACUGAUUACAGUAAAAACUCAACCUGGAAAACUGCCUCAGAGUUAGAGUAAAGGAUUUAUAAGAAUUUAGAGUUGGCAGAGACCAAAGUGAUCAUCUUAUUCACUGGUGCCUUACGUUUUAUUUAAUCCACUCAACAAAUGUUUACUGAAUGCCCGUUAUGUGCAGGGAAUGCAAGUACAAAAAUCUUUUUUUAAUAUUAAAAAAGGUCACAGACCAUCAUAUGAUAGCAUUGUAAUUCUGGACAUUCAGAAAAUUAUUUAAUAAAGUAAAAUCAACUACAAACUUAAUAAAAGUUUAAAUAUUAUAUUUUAAUAAUUAUGACAUUACCUACAUUGAAAAUUAGUAGUAUACACAUGUAUAAGAUGUAUUAUUCAUUCCAUUGACAAAAUGCUUGAUUCACAAACAUUCCUAAAAUUCCUUGCAGGCACACCUAAGUUCCCUCCGAGUCUAAAGCCUAUAAAUUGGAAAUUGCUGACUAGUUCAAUAAGCUCAUUUUACUGAUGAUGAAAAUCAAUAAAUAACUUACAUCUGGUCUUAUAACUAGUGGUAGAGCUAGCAGCUCCAACUCCUAACCCAGAGCCUCACUGUGUCAUGUAGUUUCUGCCUAUCUGCUGUCUAUUCAAUUAUGUGACAGAGAACACUAACUGACCCCCAUGAUUUAUUCUCUUCCUCUUCAGCCCCACAAGUUUCAACCGGGCACAUGGGUCACCAGAUGGAGACUACAUUUCCCAGCUCCUCUUGCAGGCUGGCAUGUCCAUGUGACUGACUAUGGCCCGUGAAUGUAAGUGGAAUUGAUGAGUCCAAUUUCUAGGUCACAUCCUUAUAAAAGAAGCUAUUACAACUCCACAUCCUAGCCCUCCUCCCCCCAAAUUCUGCACUGCUGAAACAGUUUUGACUGUGCAGAUUAAGUCAGAAUCCUGGAGGCAAAUGCAAUAAAUAGAAAGAAUCUGACCCCCUGGGUGCCCUCAAUGAACAGGACCACCUUUCACUGCUGCAACCCCUUCUGGACUGGUAUGUGAAAGAGAAAGAAACUUCUAUUUCAUCUUAGCUACCAUAUUUGCAAGUUCCUUUGUGGCAGAACUUUAGUCAAACCUAACCAAAAUAACAUAAUAUACUCACAUAAAAGGUUACAAGGUGAGAGGAUAAGAGCAAUAGCAAAAUGUGCUUCUGAAAAUAAGGACAGUGUUUCAUUUGUAUUUCUAAUUAAUUGCAUUACGUUUGAUCUUGGUGAUCAUAGAAGAAAAUUAAUCUCAGACUAUAGAGGCCCCUGGUAUUUACCAUGGUGUGGUAUCCUCCCAUGCUCUAUCAGAGUUGGUCUGUGUGACCAAUAGAAUAUGACAGAAGUGAUAAUGUGUGACUGCUGAGGCUAGAUUAUAACAGCAGUGUUGCUUCUGCCAGGAUUUUCUCAGGUAGAUCACUUUUUCUGAGGGAAUCCAAGUGCCAUGCCAUGAGGACACUCAGGCAGCCCUAUAAAGAGGCCCACAUGGCCAAAAUCUUGAGGCCUCCAGUCAAUAGCAAACAAGAAACUGAGAUGAGCAUGGAAGUAGAUACUCAAGCUUCAAUGAAAUCUUCAGAUAACUGCAGCCCCAGGAGACAUCCAGUUUACCUCAUAGGAGAGCCUGAGACAGAACCACCUAGCCAGGGAAUGUAAAUUGGUAUAGCCGUUAUAGAAAAAAUAUGGAGGUUCCUCAAAAAAAUGAAACAGAAGUUCAUACUGUAUUAGUCCAUUCUCACACUGCUAUAAAGAACUACAUGAGACUGGGUAAUUUAUAAAGAAAAGAGGUUUAAUUUGGUCAUGGUUCUGCAGGCUGUACAGGAAGCAUAGCUAGGGAGGCCUAGGGAAACUUACAAUCAUGGCAGAAGGGGAAGCUGUUACAUCUUAUAUGGCUGGAGCAGGAGGAAGAAAGCAAGGUGGAAGGUGCUUACACACUUUUAAACAACCAGACCUCACAAUAACUCACUCACUGUCACAAGAACAGCACCAAAGGGGAGAUCCACCACCAUGAUCCAAUCACCCUCCACAAGGCCCCACCUCCGACAUUGGGGAUUACAAUUUCACAUGAGAUUUGGGCAGGGACACAGACCCAAAUCCUAUCACAUACAGUCUAACAAUCCCACUUUUGAGUAUAUCUCCAAAGGAAAUGAAAUCAGUAUCAAAGAGAUACCUGCACCCUCAUGUUCAUUGCAGCAUUAUUCACAAUAGCCAAAAUAUGGAAACAACCUAAGUGUCCACUAAUGGAUGAAUGAAUAAGGAAAGUGUAGAAUAUAUGCCAGGUGCUGUGGCUCAUGCCUAUUGUCCCAGCACUUUGCGAGGCCGAGGCCGAGAAGGGUGGAUCACUUAAAAUCAGGAGUUCAAAACCAAUCUGGGCAACAUGUGAAGACCCCAUCUCUACUGAAAAGACAAAAAAAUUGGCCGAGUGUGGUGGUGGGUGCCUGUAAUCCCAGUUACUCAGGAGGCUCAGGCAGGAGAAACACUUGAACCCAGGAGGCGGAAGUUGCAGUGAGCCAAGAUCACACCACUGCACUCCAGCCUGGGUGACAGAGAGAGACUCCAUCUCAAAAAAAAGAAAAAGAAAAAAAUAUAUAUAUAGGACUAUUAGUCAGCUAUAAUAAAAUAUGUGAAUCCUACCAUUUGCAACAACAUGGAUGAAAUUGAAGGACAUUAUGCUAACUGAAAUAAAACAGACACAGAUAUACAAAUACUCUAUGAUCUCAUUUAUAUGUGGAAUCUAAAAAAUGUGAACUCAUAGAGGCAGGGAAUAGAAUGGUAGCUACCAGGGGCUGGGCAGGGGCAGGUGGGGAGAUGUUGAUUAAAGAGUACAAAUUUUUAGACAUAAGAUGAAUAAGUUCUGGGUUUCUAAUUUACAGCAUGGUUAUUAUAGUUAAUAAUACUGUAUUAUUCACUUGAAAUUUGCUAAUUGAGUGGACCUUAAGUGCCUUUACCACACACACACACGCGCGCACACACGCACACACACACAAAAUGGUAACUAAGUGUGGUGAUAGAUGUGUUCAUUAAUUUGACAGUGGUAAUCAUUAUACAAUGUAUACAUAUAGCAAAUCACCAUGUUGUAUACCUUGAACAUAUACAAUUUUUGUCAAUUAUACAAUUUGUAAAGAUGGGGGUAAAAACCUAGCUAAGUCACUCCCAAUUCCUGACCUACAGAAACUGUGCUAUAAUAAAUGUUUGUUGUUUUAAGCCACUAAACUUUGGGUUAAUUCAUUAUACAGCAAGAGAUACCUCAUACACUUAUUGAAUGUGUUUGGCAGGUGACCUGAUACAGAGCCUACUAGAAAUGUUACAUGCUAGAAAUGUUGACCUACCUCACCUGGUGAAUGGGUUAGUUCCGUAGAAAAUUUAGUUUAUGCUCCCUAAUUUUCUAUAGGAUUAGAGGUAAUAAUACCUAUAAACAUAUCUCUUCUUAAUGAAUUUUUUGUAUGUUAUUUUUGUGGAUAAGGGUGGGGAUAGGUAAUCUCACCAUGUAUUACCCCAGAAUCCAGACAAAAGAGAC
rnacentral:lncRNA from 1 species